rnacentral:rRNA from 1 species
UACGGAGGGGGCUAGCGUUGUUCGGAAUUACUGGGCGUAAAGCGCACGUAGGCGGCUUGGUAAGUUAGAGGUGAAAGCCUGGAGCUCAACUCCAGAAUUGCCUUUAAGACUGCCGAGCUAGCAGGUGAGAGAGGUGAGUGGAAUUCCGAGUGUAGAGGUGUAAUUCGUAGAUAUUCGGAAGAACACCAGUGGCGAAGGCGGCUCACUGGGCCGAUACUGACGCUGAGGAGCGAAAGCGUGGGGAGCGAACAGG